AAGACUUCAGUUAUUUAGAGCUCCACCCAGCACCCAUGGCAGGGGCUGAGGGGCCGACUGUGACGAACUGGACCUCAUCACGAGUUCUUGGAGGGGCAUACUUGCCAGCCGCUUGCUCUGUGACUAUGGCCCCUGUGUUAAAUCCUGGUUAAAACCACUGUGUGUGCCUUUUUGUACUUGUAUGGCCACAAUUCGAACUUUCGAAAUGGCACUUCGAACUCUCGAACUUCCAAAGCCAUUUGAAGUGCUAUUCGACCAUGAGGUGGCAGCCAUCUUUUUCAUAUGGACCAAAACUGCAAAUAGACUUCAGGGGAACUUAGUCACGCAUGCUCUGGAAUUAUUUUCGGUAUGAAAACCUCACGAUUGCCGGUCGGUCCUCCAGCGGCACUUGACUGCGAUUCUAUGGAGCUAUUUUCGGCUUUGGGACCAUGCCUGCGGUCGGUAAAAUAUAUGACUUCCAUAAAAUUUCUGAACUCAUGAACUGAUCUGGGUGAUUUUUGGAUAUGUUGGUCACCCAGAUCAGGGCUAUCAAAAUAUUACAAUAUUUCUCUUUCUCUCCUUAUAGUAGGUUAUCUUAAAUUGUUAAAUUUUUCUCUUUCUCUCCUUAUGGUAGGUUAUCUUAAAGAUUUUUUUAUAAAUAAUCUUUUGAAUAUUUU